CAGGUUCUCAGGCCUUCAGCCUCACACUGAGUGUUACACCAUCUGCUUCCUUGGUUCUGAGGUUUUUGGGCUUGUACUGGGCCAUGGCGCCCACUACCACACUUGGCUAGUUUUUGUGCUUUUAGUAGAGACGGGGUUUUGCCAUAUUGGCCAGGCUGGUCCCAAACUCCUCACUUCAAGUGAUCUGCCUGCUUCUGUCCCAAAGUCCUGGGAUUACAGGCAUGAGCAUUUGGGGCUGCUCACCUUUGGAUAGGGUUUUUGUGGAGACUUUUUUUGUUGAUGCUGCUGUUGUUGUUGCUUUCAUUUGCUUCUCUUUUAACAGUCAGGUCCCUUUCCCAUAGGGCUCCUGCGCUUUGCUGGGGGUCCACUCCAGACC
rnacentral:lncRNA from 10 species